UACAGAGGUCCCGAGCGUUGUUCGGAUUCACUGGGCGUAAAGGGUGCGUAGGUGGCGAGGUAAGUCGGAUGUGAAAUCUCCAAGCUUAACUUGGAAAUGGCAUUGGAAACUACCUGGCUAGAGGUUUGGAGGGGGGACUGGAAUGCUUGGUGUAGCAGUGAAAUGCGUAGAUAUCAAGCGGAACACCAGUGGCGAAGGCGGUUCUCUGGGCAUGUCCUGACGCUGAGGAGCGAAAGCGUGGGGAGCAAACAGG
rnacentral:rRNA from 1 species